CGCAUUGUUUCCCCCCCGGAAGUUGCUCGGUUGUGUUGGAUUUGGCUUUGACUGUUAUGUUUCGUGCUGAAAAUGAAUGUUGUUUUUUUUCGUCUAGCUAAACUGAAACAACGACAUACUUCAUGAGUGUUAUAAUAAUGUUUCGUCUAAGUUGAUGAAGAAGACGGCACUGCAAGUAUAAAGCGGCAAUUUACUAAAACUAGCAAAUCACAGUAGCUUGCGUUUGGUUAGCCUGUCCGUCCAUACUCUGCCAGGCUGUUUCCAAAGGUGGUGUGAAGGAUGGACAGUACAGCACUUGAGCUUGAUGCCGUUAAAUUUGCCAAAACUGCUGUCACAUAUGACCAGAAAGGCAAAUAUAACGAGGCGGUUUUUUACUACAAGGAGGCUGCACAAGCCCUAAUAUAUGCAGGCAUGGCAGGGUCCAAAAUGGAGGGAAUCCAGGAUAAGGUGAAUGAGUACUUGGAUCGUGUCCAGGCCCUGCACAAUGCUGUUCUGGCACAGAAGAGUGACCCUCUAAAGUCCCGACAGCAGGUGGACAUGGAGCGAGCCCACUUCCUGGUCACCCAGGCUUUUGAGGAGGAUGAGAAAGGAAACGGUGAUGAAGCCAUUGAACUGUACACUCAGGCUGUGGAGCUCUGCAUUAAAACGUCCAAUGAGACCACAGACCAGGCGCUGCAGACCAAGCUGAAGCAGCUGGCUCGCCAAGCGUUAGACAGAGCAGAAGGUCUUAAGGAGUCCCAGUCCAAAUCAGCUUCAGCUCAGGACAGGGCAGGGACUUCUGGAAACAGAAAUGUCAGCAGCAGUGGUUCAGUGCCACCAGUCCGACAGUUUUUUCCCCUCGGACCAGAAUUCAGUCUCAGCGACCGAGCUCAGACACAGCCAGUUCGAACAGCACACUCAAGUGAGCCGCACGGUCAACGCUACACAUCUGAAGAGAUCGAAGUUCUCAGGAGUACAUCUAAAAUCAAUGGAAUCGCCUACGUUCCCUUUAUGAGUGUUGACUUGAAGGAACGGUUUGCCUUUCCUGUUCCUUUCUCGGACAAAACAGGAAAACUGGCAUUAUCGCCCAAACAGAAAGCCAUCUUCUCCCGAUGGAUCAGGCCAGAUGAGAUCUGCAAUAACCCGACCAUGAUCAUGUCUGUGUCCAGUCUUAGCAUCAAACAGACUGUCGUGUCUGACUGCUCCUUUGUGGCAUCACUCGCCAUCAGUGCUGCGUAUGAAAGACGCUUCAAUAAGAAACUCAUCACCAGCAUCAUCUACCCUCAGAACAGGCGAGGAGAACCAGAGUAUAACCCUUGUGGGAAAUACAUGGUCAAGCUUCACAUCAACGGCGUUCCCAGGAAGGUGAUAAUAGAUGAUUUCCUGCCUGUGGACCAUAAUGGAGAGAUGCUGUGUUCUUACUCCAGCAACAGAAACGAGCUCUGGGUGUCUCUGAUAGAAAAAGCCUACAUGAAGGUGAUGGGUGGCUACGACUUUCCUGGCUCCAACUCUAACAUCGACUUGCACGCACUCACUGGCUGGAUCCCUGAACGCAUCGCCAUGCACUCUGACAAUCAGUCGUUCAGUAAAGACGACACUUUUCGUAUGCUCUUCCAAAGGUUUCACAGAGGUGACGUCCUAAUCACCACAGCAACGGGGGUGAUGACAGAGGAAGAAGGGGAGAGAUGGGGUUUGGUGCCAACUCACGCCUACGCUGUUCUUGACAUCAGGGAGUACAAGGGACUGCGUUUCCUGCAGUUGAAGAACCCCUGGAGUCACCUUCGGUGGAAGGGACGUUACUGUGAGCGGGAUGAGAAGAACUGGACGCCCGAUCUUCUCAAAUACCUCAACUUUGACCACAAGACUGCACAGAAGUUUGAUAAUGGUGUUUUCUGGAUCGUGUGGGAGGAUCUUUGUCAAUAUUAUGAUGUCAUUUACCUGAGCUGGAAUCCUGCUCUGUUCCAGCAUUCAUUCUGUAUUCACAAUAGUUGGGAUGGGAGACAGGGGCCAGUGAAAGAUGUCUACAGUCUGGCCAAUAAUCCACAGUAUAAACUGGAGGUGCAAUGUCCAACAGGUGGUGCUGCUGUGUGGGUUUUGCUCACCAGACACAUCACUGACAAGGAUGACUUUGCACAAAACCGUGAGUUCAUCACCCUGGUUGUCUAUAAGACAGAUGGGAAGAAGGUUUACUACCCAGCUGACCCCCCUCCCUUCAUUGACGGCAUCCGCAUCAACAGCCCACACUACCUGACCAAGAUAAGGCUGACCAGUGCAGGGACACACACCUUCACACUGGUGGUGUCUCAAUAUGAGAAGCAAAACACCAUCAAUUACACACUGCGGGUUUAUUCCGGAUGCAAAUUCACCUUCUCCAAGAUUCCAAAUCCCUUCACUCAAACUAAAAGGGUCAAUGGUCAGUGGAAGGGUCUCAGUGCUGGAGGCUGUGGGAACUACAAGGACUCCUACAAACACAACCCUGUAUAUCAGAUUAACCUGGAGCGACCUGGACCGCUGCUAAUCGAGCUCCGAGGGUCAAGGCAGUACAGUGUCGGCUUUGAGAUGGUGACCGUGUCUAUGGUGGGUGAUCCUGGUCCUGCGGCGUUUCAGAAGAAGACCAGUGGAGAUUACAGAUGUGGUUUCUGCUACAUGGAGCUGGACCACGUCCCAGCAGGCAUCUACAACGUCACCCCAACCACCUUCCUGCCCAAACAGGAAGGACCCUUCUUUUUGGAUGUCUCCAGUACCUCAGCCCUGAAGGUCUCACAGCUGCAGUGAGAGCUGAGCUCCAAGAGUUAAGGAAGCAGAUGUCAGGAGGAUGGUUCUGUCAGGGCGUAAAGGGACAUUCCUGAUGUUUCUGCAUGGAUGUGAUGUCCUGGCCUCCAUGAAGCCCUCGGAGAAUGUGACUGUUGACCUCGUCCCCAACAGCUUCCCUGACUGACUGAUGAUGCCAAACAAAAGCAAAUCCUGAUUUGGAGGGAUUUUUUCAGGAUUCAAGACACAACAAUUUAGCCAAAACCUAAACCUCUGAUUUAUGUCCUAAUCUACCAGAUGGAAUAAUCUGCAUCAAUGAUGCUUUGAUAUAUCUUCCAAAUCUGACAGAUUUAAAGGCACAGCUGGAGUGGAACCCAUCCUUGGACUGUGUGGACUAGACUAGACUAGACUAGACUGGACUGGACUGGACUGGGCUGGACUGUGUGUGAGGUGAUAUCAGGGUACAGGCAUGGAAUUGUGCAUCGCUGCUGCUAAAAGCAACAGUUUUCAAAGUCUGUUGUUGAAACACUGAGCAUCUCAGAACAUUAGAUUCUCAAAGAGUCUGUGUUGAUGGGCUAAUUUGGUCUGGUGCAUUUUUUUCAAGUGUCAGCAAAACUUUAGUAAUUCAUUGGUGAUCCUAAUUCUUAACCCAAGUUGGGUUUAAUCAGACUAAUCCGAUUAUUUUUCACCAGUCUCCUUGUCAUUUCUUCAGUUUAAUGACUCUGAUUAUGUCAACGAUCUCACAGGAUAAUCAUUACAAAAAAUCUAAAACUAUAGCUUUUGAUUGCAUUUUUUCAAAGCUUGCUCAAAAUUACUAUCCGACCAACAUAUAACAAUAUUAGAUUUUUUUUUUCUAUAACUCAGUCUGAGGUUGAAAGAGCUUAAUAUCUAUCUUAUGAAGGAAAUGUAGAAAAAUAGUUGAUGUUUGCUCAACUUAUGCAUUUAUGAGCACUUUUUGUUGGCGCAUUAAAAUAUCCAGUUAAACUGUUUGACUAUCUGGGAGCUGAGUAUAAUGGUGACAUUUUAAUAUUUCAGUUUAAACCACAUACAGGCCUGCUGGUUUGUUGUUACAUCAGUUUGUAUCCAUGGGCGUUAGAAUAUGAACACAACCACAGACUUCAAAAAUCUAAAUAAUGUAGUUUAACAGCAGACGAGAGUCUGUCUUCACUGGUGAAGCAGCUUCAUACACUGAAACACCAGUCGUUCUUGAGAUGCUCAUUGUUGCACAAACUGACAUUGAAGCAGUUGUUUGUUCUGAAACUUAUUUUAUGCCAAAAUUGUAAAAUCAUGUUUGUUUAUUGACAUGAUGAAGGGACGGUUCUGUUGAUUCUGUUUUUCUUUUUUCUACUCCUCAGGAGCAGAGUAGCAUCAAAGAUAUUUUCAAGAUGGCAGCAGUUGAAUGAUGUCACUUCCUGUUGUGCGCGUGACAGCUAAGUGAUUAUUAUCAGUUCAGUCUGAUCUCAUGUCAGCACUUCUAGACUUGUGUGUACGUGAAAAUAUUUUUAAAGAACAGAAAGUUAUCCUUUUGCCAAGUACACAUAAUCUGUUUACUUUUAAGUUACAGAAUUGCACUUUUUAAAGUAAUAACAUUUCUCUUUCUUGUCAAGUGCAAUAUAUAGAAAGUAAGCUGUCACUUUGGUGAUCGAUACAAGCAGUAAAGAUCCAGGCAAUGAAGUGGAAUCUGAAGUGAAGUGCAGUCGUAUCUGACACAGUGGAGUCUGAAUAAUCUGAUGGCGACGAUGCUCCGCUGCACUCGCUGCGAGGUCCCAGAACCGGUGAGAUGAGGCUGAAAUCUGACAAUGAUGCAUCGGUGGGAAGAUCCAAACUGCAGGGCCUGGACGGGGGAUCGGGGGAAGAUGAGGAUGUAGAUGAAGAGGCGGAGGGAGUUGGUGAAGGAGAGGAAGAGGAGGACAUGAAUGAAGAGGAGAAGGAGGAUCUGCCGAAUGGACUAGGCAACAGCAGGUCCUGGGGGCUGCUGGGAGAUGAACCCAGGCUGCAGGUGGAGCGAGUCUCUGAGUCUUCUUCAGACAUGACACUGCCGUUGGCGCCACACGACUCGUCAUCGAAACAAACAGAAGCCACUACAGGAGCCAUAUGAAGAGCUGUAGCGCUCCACUUACUGGAAAUACCAUCGGACUCUAUUUUAAAGCUGGACACAUCGUCCCCAGAAACACUGUCGCCUUCUGCGCCCACACCCCUGCCUCUGGGCCCCAUGGUGGAGUUUCUUCUUCGCUCGUGGAUCUCAUCGGAGAUCAUCUCCAGGUUCUGGAGGGCUGUCUUGUAUUCUCCCUUGGCCUGGGACAGUUUAGCCUGACGCUCGUCUACGUUCUUCUUCAGGUUCUGCAGGAAGAAGAAGAGAUAUUAAUGGUGUUUCUUGAGAUGUUCCAAUUCUGAUACUGUGCUACAUACCUCCAGCUGCAGAUAGUACUUGGCCUUCAUCUCAAAGUAGGGCCUGCAAAGGAGGAGGAGGAGGGUGGUCAGGAAAAGAAAAGAAGAAGCAACUUGAUCAGAGAGAAGUAUAGCAUAACCUAGAUAGGAACUGUGCCCACACCAUCACCAUGGCAACCUGAAGGCUGAGCAGUAGAUAACAGAGUAUACAGCAGAUACCAGUCCACGGAGAGUGGAUUCCAAGCCCUGUAUACAGUAAUGCAUAUAAGUCAUCCACCCUUGAACAGCGUCAAUCCAGGCUGACCGCCACAACCUGGAAGAUGUGGUCAGCAUGUUGCUGACCACAUCUAGAAGGUGAUGAUGCUGGUUAAUUAAUGGACAUGUUUAUCUGGGAAUGAUUUUUGACUUUUUCUAUGGGGCUUUUUAAAAAUUCUUAAAACUUAUUUUUGUUUAAUUAAUUCAUAUUGACAUAAACAGUAUGUCAAGAACAAAACUGGAACUGAAUAUCAGGGGAUCUCCAAUGCAUGGUGAAAAAACUACAAUAAUAAAAUGUACAGAGUA